UGUUAGCCAAUGGCUGCCGGCCAAUUGCUUGAAUUAUUGUCAUACAUGUCCACACACUAGCAUCAGGCAUCUCCCCUUUCGCAAGUGUCACACACACGUACAGAGUAUUUGGUCCCUCGCACUAGCACCUUCUUGCUUUGCACCGGUUCGUCUAUCUCUGUGUGUGUGGUAUAUAAACUACACGAGUGCGCCCAAGUGCUCAUCACACAUAGAUAGAUUUGCGCCCAAGUUCUUCUAUACCGGCCUUUCUAGCAGAUCAUCGUUUUUACGCCAGCCAGUGUAUCUUCGCCAUCAACUCCGAGCAAGCCGGCAGCUAGCAUGGGACUGAGGCGCAGGCCCGACGAGAACAGAGAAAAGGACCGCGAGAAAAGUUCCACGGGCUUCGUUACGUUCUUGAUCGGGAUUGUGGCAGCAGGUGCUGCUCUAGUGGGAGCAGCCGCGUAUUACGGCGCCGAAGAGGAGGACAAGAAUCGUCAGAAAAUAAAAGACAGGAGGUACCGAUAGAGGAGAUCAUCGACGACGCUACGUAUACGUACACCGCUACACCCAUCCCGGCCACCAGCUUCUUUAACUUUCGUGUACCUAAGCCAUGCAUGUGCCAUAUAUGUAUCUAUAUAUCUCUUCGAUGUACAAUGUAAUAACAUGUAUAUUCACUUAGCUUAAUUAUGGGUAGCAGAGUUGAUGUACAUGUAACUCACAUAUAUAUAUAGCUAUGCGGUUUUUCUAAUACAUGUGUACAUUAAGAGGCUAUUUGGUUAGAUGAAUGAUCGAAAUAUAUAGUGAUUAUAUUAGUUGCGGUGAUUGAGAGCCGAUAAAGUUUUCAUGGGGAAUUUGGCCAACGGUAAUGCUGGGUCGCGGCGGGUAGUUUGGACGGCGGCUCCUUUUUUUUGCUUUUUGAAUUUCUUCGCCGUAAGCCACUUUGUCUCUUUUGAAUUCUUGUGCCGUAAACCGUAUCAUGCAUGGAACUCUUUUCUCUCGUUGUUGGGCUGAAACAGAUUACUUAUUGUUGGAACAAAUAUUUAUUUGAUCGUGUGCUAGAUCGUUUAGAGUGAAGGUGGAUAUUGUUGUAUGGUGACUCAAAUCGUUCUUAGACUACGAUCAAGAGAAGAGUGUUAUUAAGACUUCUCCUUCUGCAAACACAAGGUUUAUGAUGCGCAGGUGUGGAACUCAGAGGCAGUAGUCGAUAGCGAGGUGAAGGUCAAGUAUUGGGAUGUGCCAUGCAGAUGGACUAGAAGCGGUGAAGGACGGACGUGAGGCCUGGACCUAGGGACCAGGAGGUUGGGUGAGAACAGCCACAGUACAUGGGUGAUGAAGACGACAUCGACCAAGUCAAAGAGGAGGAGAUGGCAUCAUGGCACUUGGCAAAGGCCGAACACACAUCUAUAUGGGUGAUGUAGAUGGCGUCAGUCAAGUCGAGAAGGAAGGUGAAGGUAUCAAGCCUAGCCGAGGCCGGGCACACGUCGACAUCGGGGGCUUGGUGGUUUCGUCCAGAAAGCCAUCGAAGAGGUUUAGUGGUUUCGGCCUCAAAACCAUCGGAGGACAAUUUGCUGGUUUUGGCCUCAAAACCACCGGGUGGAUGUUUUUGGAUUUGGGCCUCAAAAUCUGGGUGCGGUUCUAGCGAGAAUUAGAGACGGCACGUGGCAGCAUCGCGCGGCUUGCAUCGAGGCGAAGCUAACGAUGAAAGGCAUGUGGCCGUCAGAUCAACAAAAAUUGGGUUGGACCAUAAUGCCCUUAGGCUAGGUGGUUCGUCCUAAAGAGGCACUAAUAGAAUUGUGUAAUAGGCCAAUAAAUAAGUUGGGGAUGCCUUCACUCAGUCCCACUGCUCCAGUUUUCAUUUCUUCAUUCUAGAUUUUCCCCUCCCCUAACUCCACCAUCUGUGUAAUCGAAUAUUUCUAAGUGGCAAGAGAGUCCAUAACCUCUCGGUA